CAGCCGCCGCGGUAAAACGUAGGUGGCAAGCGUUGUCCGGAAUUAUUGGGCGUAAAGGGAGCGCAGGCGGGCAUGUAAGUCUUUCUUAAAAGUUCGGGGCUCAACCCCGUGAUGGGAAAGAAACUACAUGUCUUGAGUGCAAGAGAGGGAAGCGGAAUUCCUAGUGUAGCGGUGAAAUGCGCAGAUAUUAGGAGGAACACCGGCGGCGAAGGCGGCUUUCUGGAUUGUAACUGACACUGAGGCACGAAAGCGUGGGUAGCAAACAGGAUUAGAUACCCCCGUAGUCCCUGUCUCUUAUACC
rnacentral:rRNA from 1 species